AAAGACUCAAUUCCUGGGUUUUCGUGUCCUACUUUUGACUGUCCGUCUUAUAUGAUUUUUUUUCAUGAUUAGUAUUUUCAUUGUUGUUAGAUGAUAAAAUAUGAAUAAUACUUUAUGUGUGAUUUAUCUUUUUAAAUUUUUUCAUAUUUUUUAAAUAAGACGGACGGUCAAACGUUAGACACGGAAACCCAAGAAUUGAGUUAUU
rfam:Oryza barthii chromosome 3, whole genome shotgun sequence.